UAUGACCAUAUCAUGUUGAAACACCGGUUCUCGUACGAUCACCAAAGGUAAGCAAGUUUGAACCAGGUCAGUACCAGAUGAGUGAUCUCUCGGAAAUACCGAAUGCUGUAA